rnacentral:tRNA from 1 species
GCCAGUAGGGCUGCUUAGCAGGCUACUUUGAUAUAGUAGAUUGUGAAUUUUUAAUUCCAUUGGUA